AUAGCUCAGUGGUAGAGCACUUGCCUAGUAUGCACAAUGCCCUAGGUUCAAUCCCUAGU
rnacentral:tRNA from 1 species